rnacentral:lncRNA from 1 species
ACAAAAAGAAACGGUAUCGUGUUGAGGAAGGAAACAAGCUUUAUUAGAGCAAAGGGAAAUAAAUCCUGGGCUUGUCAGUGGUACAGAUGAACUCCAGAGGCUCUGGGCCUGUCUGUCGUCGCCAGAGGUUGGGUAACCAGCUCUGCGUAGCGGGGCGACCUCAGAUGCCGGCCAGUAGGGAGAGUGGGUGACUUACAGGGAAGGAAAACUGAAAACAGCCGAGAGCUUUCUAUCUCUCUAUCUCUCUAUCUCUCUAUCUUGAUUCUAUCAAAGAAUCAAGGACCCGGAAGUCGUGGUGUAACAGUGUGGGAGGCAGCUGGGCCGGAAGGAUGCUCGUUCCCCUUUACGAGCCCACAUUCGACCUGUAGCCUGAAGUCGUGUGACUGUCGUGUGGCUGAGUGGCACGUUGAAGAUGAAAGAUUUGACAGUGGCUGAGGACAGAGGCGGGACUUCGGUAUGUGGAGUGAGUGCGGAAGUGGGACACUCUCUCCUCUAAGACAAGAAUACACUGGGCAGAGGUGUCAAAAAACAACCACUGCAGGACUCAGGAAGUACAACAGCUGCCAGCGUCAAAUUGAGAAGCGUUUUGCCUCGAGCUGUGGUGUGGGUCCCACAUGCAGCUUGGAUCUGGUGUGGCUGUGGCUGUGGCCAGCAGCUGCAGCUCCGAGGUGACCCCUAGCCUGGGAAUUUCCAGAUGCCGCAGGUAAGGCCAUAAAAACUGCUACUGCCACCGCCACCACUACCACUACUACUAAAUUGAGAAGCAUCUGGAGUUCCUGUCGUGGCGCAGUGGUUGACGAAUCCGACUAGGAACCAUAAGAUUUCGGGUUCGGUCCCUGCCCUUGCUCAGUGGGUUAACGAUCCGGCAUUGCUGUGAGCUGUGGUGUAGGUUGCAGACGCGGCUCGGAUCCCGCGUUGCUGUGGCUCUGGUGUAGGCCUGUGGCUACAGCUCCAAUUAGACCCCUAGCCUGGGAAUCUCCAUAUGCCGCGAGAGCGGCCGAAGAAAUAG